rnacentral:rRNA from 1 species
AGCGAACGCUGGCGGCAGGCCUAACACAUGCAAGUCGAACGGAUCCUUCGGGAUUAGUGGCGGACGGGUGAGUAACACGUGGGAACGUGCCCUUUGGUUCGGAACAACUCAGGGAAACUUGAGCUAAUACCGGAUGUGCCCUUCGGGGGAAAGGUUUAUCGCCAUUGGAGCGGCCCGCGUCUGAUUAGCUAGUUGGUGAGGUAAAGGCUCACCAAGGCGACGAUCAGUAGCUGGUCUGAGAGGAUGAUCAGCCACAUUGGGACUGAGACACGGCCCAAACUCCUACGGGAGGCAGCAGUGGGGAAGCUUGCGCAAUGGGCGAAAGCCUGACGCAGCCAUGCCGCGUGAAUGAUGAAGGUCUUAGGAUUGUAAAAUUCUUUCACCGGGGACGAUAAUGACGGUACCUGAAGAAUAAGCACCGGCUAACUACGUGCCAGCAGCCGCGGUAAUAC